AGGGGUGUAGCUCAGUUGGUAGAGCACCGGUCUCCAAAACCGGGUGUCGUGGGUUCGAGUCCCUCCGCCCCUGCCA
rnacentral:tRNA from 1 species